GUAGGUGGCAAGCGUUGUCCGGAAUUAUUGGGCGUAAAGCGCGCGCAGGUGGUUCUUUAAGUCUGAUGUGAAAGCCCCCGGCUCAACCGGGGAGGGUCAUUGGAAACUGGGGAACUUGAGUGCAGGAGAGGAAAGUGGAAUUCCACAUGUAGCGGUGAAAUGCGUAGAUAUGUGGAGGAACACCAGUGGCGAAGGCGACUUUCUGGCCUGUAACUGACACUGAGGCGCGAAAGCGUGGGGAGCAAACAGGGAUUAGAUACCCUGGUAGUCCACGCCGUAAACGAUGAGUGCUAAGUGUUGGGGGGGUUUCCGCCCCCUCAGUGCUGCAGCUAACGCAUUAAGCACUCCGCCCUGGGAGUACGGUCGCAAGACUG
rnacentral:rRNA from 1 species